rnacentral:pre_miRNA from 1 species
GAGGGCAGCACUGGAUCUUGGGCUGUGUCCCCCGGCACCCUGGGCUCUAGGCCCUGCGCCGUUGGAAUCGCGCCCCCAGGGCUGUGCAGCCCCCU